rnacentral:ncRNA from 1 species
GCAGAGUAGAUUGAAGAGCGUUAAGUGUUUAUCGUACAGGGAGUUGACGAUAAAACGAAAAAUCGAAAGAUUUGCGGUUCUUUGGUCGCAUCCCGCUGC